UACGUGGGCAGCAAGCGUUGUUCGGAGUUACUGGGCGUAAAGGGUGCGUAGGCGGUCCUAUAAGUAUGGUGUGAAAUCUCCCGGCUUAACUGGGAGGGUGCGCUAUAGACUGUGGGACUAGAGUGUGGGAGAGGAAAGUGGAAUUCCUGGUGUAGCGGUGAAAUGCGUAGAUAUCAGGAGGAACACCGGUGGUGUAAACGGCUUUCUGGACCAUAACUGACGCUGAGGCACGAAAGCGUGGGUAGCAAACAGG
rnacentral:rRNA from 1 species